CCUGCCAUUGAUCAAGCCCCACCUAUUCAGCUGAUGGCCCAGAGGAGAAACCCGAUCACCUAACAAGAAAGAAGCAGAGGAGAGAGGAAGGAGAAAAUGAGAGAAAUGGAAACGUUGUGAUGAAUCACUUGACCUCUGAUCCAUAGGCAGCGAGGGAAGUGUGUGUGUAUGGGUUUCUGAGCCAUUCAACCAAACCCAAACCUGGACAUCCAUGAAGGGAUUAUACACGAUUUCCGGAGCAACUGGUUACAGCAUCUCUUGAGUAUAGACUGAUGAGAGACUGUGACCAGUACAUUCAUCUUGUGUUCUCAAAGACUACAGAGCUGAACCUGCGAAAUAGAGGAAACUGGAGUCUGAGGGAGACUGGGAGACGGAGGCCACAGCAGAGCAAGGAGGAACAGG